AUGCAGACAGUUUUUAUUUGUACAACGUUAUAUACUUAGCUCUUGCCGUCUCCUCCUGGCAUUUGGCAAAGCAAUGAAACAGCACCUGAGGAAGCUGGCGGCAUCGCAGGGAUACGGUACGCUUCACGAGAGCUUGCUGAUUAGGAAAUGAUUCAGUAAAAUAAAACAGAAAGGUCAUUAGAAGAUGGACAGAUGGACGAAUUUUUUUACGAGCUGUCAGCUGCUGCAAACGCAAGGAGAUGGCUUCAUCCACAGGAGCACAAGCACUCUCAACAUGAUCCAUUAGCAGCUUUCUAAAGUUUUUUUCACACCAGCACCAGCCAGGUGCGGACCAAAACAACCACACAGAGACCCACGAGAGGAGCUGGUCUCGAUCUGGUCCCAAACGAACACCAGAGCGGUUCAUUUGUGGUGAGAAUGUGAUCUGACCAUCGAUCUGACUUGACUAUCAAAUAUAUUCCUCAUGUUUGAGCUAAACAGCUGUCCAGGUGCAGUUUAACCUGAUUAAUUAUCCACAUAAUUUCUACUCAUCCACUUUAAACAGGAAAAAAACACCAUAAGAAAAUGGCAGUUUUCUUUCAAACAUUUUAGUCUACUCCAUAUUCUAUCAUAUCUUGCUCUAAGAAAACUUUGCUUUUAAAUAAUUUUGUUUCUAUUUUUUUUCUAUUUUUAUCCCAUUUUCACCCCAAAUUACCCAACCCACUCAUUAGGUCUAACCCUAUCACUAGUGAUGCCCAACAGC
rnacentral:lncRNA from 1 species